rnacentral:lncRNA from 1 species
GGUGUUUCCUGGAUUUUAUUCCUGCAGCCUGUAAAUGUUGUCUAGGAUCUGACUUUCCAGCAGCUGGGUCUUCCAGCCUUGGGAGCAAACAGAGGACACCCCAAUGUCUCAAGUGGAGUCACUUGCGUACUUGGCUACUACUCUCACUGAGUCCAGUGGAGUUCACUGGCCGGGCAGCCAUGGAGAUGAGUAGCCUCCCCUCCCAUGCCCAAGACCAACAGCCAAGCAACAGCUGGCGGAGGUGUUUGGAAGUGGCGUUUCCUCUCAGCAGCACAGCCCGGAGUUAGGUUCUUCAGACUUCCUGAGAGGCCACCCCCUUGGAGAUUUAAUCCUUUCCCCAGUGUCCUUCCUGCCACCUGUAGUCUAAACUUAGCGACAAGCGCCCCUUCUUCCCCAGCCACUUUGGCAGGCCAUCUUGCUGCUAAUAAGCAAGAUGUGCUCCCUCAUCGGGCCACCUUGAGAGGGGAAGCUCGAGCAGGAGCCAGCGACAAUGAUCUUCCUGUGAGUUUUUAAAAUUUCCAUUGACUCUAUAAAUAAUAUACAAUGGGGAAAAUGCACCUGUCUCUGUCUCUAUGUGAAAAGAAAUAAAAUCCUUACCCCUCUCACUAGAAGGCUUCACUACCAAUGUUUUUACCCAGGCCUCUGUAUAUUCGUAUUUGAAUACUAUUUUUAAUCCUGACAGCAAUAAAAGCUUACUAAUAAAAACUUUAUUGGUUUUUACCAAAAAAUAAAAAAUCAGAUGAAAAAUG